rnacentral:rRNA from 1 species
UACGGGGGGGGCAAGCGUUGUUCGGAAUUACUGGGCGUAAAGGGCUCGUAGGCGGCCAACUAAGUCAGACGUGAAAUCCCUCGGCUUAACCGGGGAACUGCGUCUGAUACUGGAUGGCUUGAAUCCGGGAGAGGGACGCGGAAUUCCAGGUGUAGCGGUGAAAUGCGUAGAUAUCUGGAGGAACACCGGUGGCGAAGGCGGCGUCCUGGACCAAUACUGACACUGAGGAGCGAAAGCCAGGGGAGCAAACGGG